rnacentral:rRNA from 1 species
GAUGAACGCUAGCGGCAGGCCUAAUACAUGCAAGUCGGACGGGAUUCAGGAGCUUGCUUCUGAUGAGAGUGGCGCACGGGUGCGUAACACGUAUGUAACCUACCUUUAUCAGGGGGAUAGCCUCUCGAAAGAGAGAUUAAGCCCGCAUAAAAUCACAGCACAGCAUUGUGUAAUGAUCAAAUAUUUAUAGGAUAAAGAUGGGCAUGCGGAACAUUAGCUAGAUGGCGGGGUAACGGCCCACCAUGGCGACGAUGUUUAGGGGAUCUGAGAGGAUGGCCCCCCACACUGGUACUGGGACACGGACCAGACUCCUACGGGAGGCAGCAGUAAGGAAUAUUGGGCAAUGGGCGGAAGCCUGAACCAGCCAUGCCGCGUGCAGGAAGACGGCCCUACGGGUUGUAAACUGCUUUUAGACGGGAAAAAACCCAGAUACGUGUAUCUGGCUGAAUGUACUGUAAGAAUAAGGAUCGGCUAACUCCGUG